UACGGGGGGUGCAAGCGUUAUCCGGAUUCACUGGGUUUAAAGGGUGCGUAGGUGGGUUGGUAAGUCCGUGGUGAAAUCCCCAAGCUUAACUUGGGAACUGCCGUGGAUACUAUCAAUCUUGAAUAUCGUGGAGGUAAGCGGAAUAUGUCAUGUAGCGGUGAAAUGCUUAGAUAUGACAUAGAACACCGAUAGCGGAGGCAGCUUGCUACACGAUCAUUGACACUGAGGCACGAAAGCGUGGGGAGCAAACAGG
rnacentral:rRNA from 1 species